rnacentral:rRNA from 1 species
UACGUAGGGGGCAAGCGUUGUCCGGAUUUAUUGGGCGUAAAGAGCGUGUAGGCGGUUUGGUAGGUCCGCUGUGAAAACUCGAGGCUCAACCUCGAGACGCCGGUGGAAACCAUCAGACUAGAGUCCGGAAGAGGAGAGUGGAAUUCCUGGUGUAGCGGUGAAAUGCGCAGAUAUCAGGAAGAACACCCGUGGCUAAGGCGGCUCUCUAGUACGGUACUGACGCUGAGACGCGAAAGCGUGGGGAGCAAACCGG